GAUGAACGCUAGCGACAGGCCUAACACAUGCAAGUCGAGGGGCAGCACAUGCGUAGCAAUACAAUGGUGGCGACCGGCGCACGGGUGAGUAACACGUAUGCAACCUACCUGUAAGAGGGGAAUAACCCGGAGAAAUUCGGACUAACACCGCAUAAUACCUCGAAGCUGCAUGGCUUUGAGGUUAAAUAUUUAUAGCUUACAGAUGGGCAUGCGUAACAUUAGAGAGUUGGUGAGGUAACGGCUCACCAACUCAAAGAUGUUUAGGGGUUCUGAGAGGAAGGUCCCCCACACUGGUACUGAGACACGGACCAGAAUCCUACGGGAGGCAGCAGUGAGGAAUAUUGGUCAAUGGGCGAGAGCCUGAACCAGCCAAGUCGCGUGAAGGAAGAAGGUUCUAUGGAUUGUAAACUUCUUUUGUAAGGGAAUAAAAAAGCCUACGUGUAGGCUAUUGUAUGUACUUUACGAAUAAGGAUCGGCUAACUCCGUGCCAGCCGCCGCGGUAACAC
rnacentral:rRNA from 1 species